GCUUUUAACUGAUAGGGGUUGGUUCACCAACUCCUAUAGGAAUCGGUUGAAUUGGAACGGGUACUUGGUUUGCGGUGGGAUUAUUGGGAUUAGGCUUCAGGCUUGUACCGGGAGCAGCAGGUAACGGUUGAAAACGGCUUUUUACAGCUUACGCGCACCGCCCGACCUAAAGGCGCAAGACAUGGGUACACUGGAGGAGGAGGGAAGGAAGGAGUGGAGGAGAGAGAGAGAGGGGGGUUUUUUCGGGGAGUGGUUAUGCCCACUCUGCCCUGCUUAACCCCUGGCGCGGAGAUCGCCUAGCCGCGCCGCCACCAGCGUCCCGUCCCCCUACAGGUGCGCCAGCUCCAGCCACGUCCCGAGGCACCCGCCGCCGCCGUCGUGCCGACCCCCGAGCCGGCACGGCGAGCGGCACGAAGACGCCGCCCUCCACCAGUCGCUCUCCUGGCGGCGGCUCGCGGGCCUCGAGGUCGUGCCGGAGAAGUCGGUUCGGUUCUUCCCGCUCCUAAAACAGAAGGAGUUCGGGCUGACGCUCGCAGAGGGGCCGAAGGGCGGUAGGAGGAAGAGACGGAAGCCGGACAAACUACCCGUGUUACCCUUACCUCGGCGAUAAAUAUGUUUCCUCUUAGAGAACUUGUUGUAGAACCCACGUCAGGGACGACUAGAGUUGUCCCUCCUGACCGAACGACGCGAAGGUUCCCGCUACCAACGUCGUAAACAGUUUUGGCUAUUUCUAAAGGUUUGUCAUCGUGCGAGAAGUCCUUGUUGUCACUGUAAACAGUAUUAUCUACCUAACCAACAAUGACAACGUAGACAACCACUAAGCGCAACACAUAAUCUUCGACUUCCAAGUUAAAUAGUCAAUAGAAGCCUAGUAGCAAAGCUACGGUCAUUUCUCCUCCAACUAGCACAUUGUCUUCGACCUCCACUACAACCUUCCGAUUUACAACAACCACCACGACUCUAACCGGGGGAAUCUACGACCGGACCCCCAAACACGGACAGUUCCUGUUAGCCUCUAGUCCUGCACCCACUUAAAUAGCAAGGACAAGGAGAGCAGUUCGUUCAUUUCAAUAGAUGACGACCUCCGGCCGAAUAAUAAAGUUCGCUACCACAAACCCUACGAAACUGACGUCUUGUCCGAGACUUGACAAGUUCUCCUGAAGGAGGACUUCGACGUCGGCUCGUUUAACAAUUUCUGCGUCACGUGAGUUUCCCUGACUCCCUACUGUGGUGAACAUAUCAGCAACUGGAUCAUGGUCUUUUUCCGUUGGGUCGAUACAGUCGAGGAUUUUUCGUUGGUCCUUACCCACAAAAGUUUUUAUACAAAGCGUUCUUUUGUAGAAGGCUGAGUAGUAGGGUACGUCUAUCUCUUAUAUACCUAGGUCUGCAACAUCUUCUCUAUAAACUCCUACUUACACGUAACGAGAGAUCUGCCGACCUAAGACUUAUGGGACAAGCUUUAUACAAGUUUGAGAAAUAUACACGAUAAACAGUUCAUCUCAAUUUCGGUUUAGUUCCCUAUAGACAUGUACUUCUAAGUAGUGUUGGACCCUUGAACGCAGCUACCCUACCAGGCAAGGAAACGGUUUCGACAGUCCUUUUUUUUCUUCGGUACCUCCCUUUCGCGGCAAGUGCUCUAAGCAGUAGCUCUUUAUCGCCCAGGUCACUUAUCAGCGGUUCCAAUUUCAACAGAACGAAAAUUUUUUCCCAAUACUAUGGUCUCUCGAUGACUGGAGUGUUACGGAUUCGGAGGUUCUCUGUUAGUAAGACGCCGUAAAGUGCAACAAAACCGUGAAGGCACUAGUGUACCUGACCAACCCCAUAAACUAGACUCUAACUUUAUACUUAACGGUACUUCGUCCACCAAUGACAAGUUAUCGGAUAAUACGGUAAACUUCACCGUUCGUAUAUGGAACAAAAAUUAAUUUCCCUGUUCGAAAAACGAGCUGUCAAAGUGUGUCUAGUAAACUGGAACCACCGUUUAUGUCCGGGUUUCUAGUAACUAACUCUUGCCGUACGGUACAACUGUAUAGAUAAGAAUCCAGUUUGAUAUCACACUUAAUGACUAGUGUAUAUCUCGAGGCCAGUCUUCCCGAAACAUUAAGAGUUAUACUCAUCCACUCAAAGAAGACUGGCUGGAACUGAACACCAGCUCUUUAUGAGUUGGGAACAACUUCAAGUCGAAAAGGAUUGAGAAGACAUUAAUUAAUCGUAUAUUUAUUUAAGAAAGUUUGUUGACACCGAACUAACUAGUCGUCCUGUAAAGACACGAACAAAUGUUACAUGUAUUAGAACG
rnacentral:rRNA from 1 species